rnacentral:rRNA from 1 species
UACGAAGGGGCUAGCGUUGCUCGGAAUCACUGGGCGUAAAGCGCACGUAGGCGGAUUGUUAAGUCAGGGGUGAAAUCCUGGAGCUCAACUCCAGAACUGCCUUUGAUACUGGCGAUCUUGAGUCCGGGAGAGGUGAGUGGAACUGCGAGUGUAGAGGUGAAAUUCGUAGAUAUUCGCAAGAACACCAGUGGCGAAGGCGGCUCACUGGCCCGGUACUGACGCUGAGGUGCGAA